CAGGUCGUCUGAGAGACUGGCGCCCACCCGAGGCGGCAGGCCCCAGGAAGCCGGUGCGAUUCCGGCGCGGUCCCGCCACUGUGACCAAGCGUUCCGCUUGGCAGCCAGGAACUGACCUGCCGCCCUUCUCCCAC
rnacentral:ncRNA from 2 species